rnacentral:rRNA from 1 species
ACAAGGUUUCCGUAGGUGAACCUGCGGAAGGAUCAUUAAAGAGAGGGGCUUCGCGCUCCAGGGGACCCCGGUCCCCGCCUCUACCACCCCGUGAUUACCUUACCUCUUGUUGCCUUGGCGGGGGCUUACCCCGCCAGCAGCCCACCGAAACUCGUUUGAUCCAUGUCCGUCUGAACCGAAUUCAUAAUGAAUCAAAACUUUCAACAACGGAUCUCUUGGUUCUGGCAUCGAUGAAGAACGCAGCGAAAUGCGAUAAGUAAUGUGAAUUGCAGAAUUCAGUGAAUCAUCGAAUCUUUGAACGCACAUUGCGCCCCUCGGUAUUCCGGGGGGCAUGCCUGUUCGAGCGUCAUUACAUCACUCAAGCGUAGCUUGGUAUUGGGUCCUUCGCCCGGGGCUCCCCUGCGGCGUGCCCGAAAAGCAUUGGCGGUCCGGUGUGACUUGAAGCGUAGUAAAUUUUCUCCCGCUUUGCAAGCCUCGCGCCGCGGCCGGCCAGACAACCCCAUUUAUACCUCACGAUUGACCUCGGAUCAGGUAGGGAUACCCGCUGAACUUAAGCAUAUCGGGGACCCCGGUCCCCGCCUCUACCACCCCGUGAUUACCUUACCUCUUGUUGCCUUGGCG